UGAAAGUGAGUGGCAGGAAUGGGGACUUCCUGCUGGGCAAAACAACAAACUCUGAAAAGRCCCCUUAUGUGCAAGGGAGAUUAUAAGCAGAUGGAGGCUUUGGUGCCAAAGCUGUCUCCUGCAAGCAACACAGGAAGGUGAUUUUUAAAGACAAGAAAACCAUAUAAUUGAGAGUCUUACUAARCGAUAGAAGUUGGCUUCAAGCUUGCUCUGCUCCUGCCUCAGCCUCCGGAGUAGUUGGAAUUACAGACUGACAAUGAUGGAAAGCUGGAGAACUGGAGGAACCAGUAGCUGCUCAGUCUAAGAAGCUGGAGCCUCAGAACCAGAGGAACCCAUGAUGCUGUCCUGGUCCAGGACAGAAAACCUGGAAACUCCCUGGAGAGUCACCAGUGAGAACCUGCUCUGAAGAGUGAAGAAGUUGGAGUCUCAUGUCCUCAUGCCAACACAGCAGCAAUGGAACCCACUCCAAAGAAGAAUGGGGGAUCCUCUCUGCUGCUGCCUCCUUGAUCUUUCACCUUUUUGUUCUGUCCAGGCCCCUAACAUAUAGGACUGUGCUAUCCACAUUUAGGGUGGGUCUUUCCCUCGGUUUGCUGUCCCUCGUGUCAAUGAUUCCUAGAAGCACCCUCCUUGACACACCCAGAAACCUCUUAAUCUUGAGCAUCUCUGAAUCCAAUCAAGUUGACAAUUCAGAUUAACCACAGUGAGUUUAUUGAAAAAUUUUCACAUAACUUGUCUUUGUCUGCUAAUAGUAUCUCUCCCUUUCCCAUAUCGAGUACUAAAGUGGUUCAAUUCCCAUUCAGGGUUGACAAGUUUGCACUUGGUCAGUAGUAAUAAGUGGCAGAAAGUGUAUCAUUAGAGGGAGAGAUUCAAACCAGUCUUAGAAUGAUCUAGUUUUCUGAACCCAAAUUUGGAUACCUGGAUAGACCAUGGUUCCUUGAUUCUUCAAGUAUCUACACAGAUCUCCAACUCAUGAAGCUCAGUCUAAUUUAAUCUGGAGGCCAGGCUGUCCAACAGUAACACUAUCAUGCAUCAAGAGCUACAGAGGUGGCCAGAAAAGAUAACCCUCUGCCCUUUAGGAGGAGGGAAUCAAGGCUGAGGAGAGUCUUAGCUCAGUCUUGGAAGAAAAUAUCUUUUCUUCUCAGGCAGUCCUUCGGGCUACAGGAAGGGCCUUCCAGGUCAACAUAGGCACAAAAACAUGAAACUGUUGGAGAACGUAGUCUGCCACACAACUGGAAAAUUUGGUCUUCUCUGGGCAUAUGCACCUCAAGAUUUUUUAUUUGUAAACUUUGGAAUCUGAUCUAUCUUGAUGUUCUGUUGUCCUAUCCAAGUGCCUUGGUUCUACUAGUCGUAGGACUCCUGCAACACAGCAGAUUGGUUUUCUUCAUGUAAGGGAAGAAAUUGCUUUGUCCUUUUUCUUCUUAAUAAACAUGCAAACUUUGUUCCAUUUGUGGGGCUCACCUCCCAGCCUGUGUUCAAUUUUCUCGGUAAGCUACCUUUGCAAAUAAACCAGGGACUGAAUCACAGCUAUCACAGGCAUGAGAUGAAAGGAGCCACGUGCAUUAAGAGAUUCCUUAAAGAUCCAGCCAGCCUUCAUUUCCUCUCACGAUGGGAAGCUUUGGGCCUCUACUGACCAGGAUGUAACCACAACAAAACAACAUCUCUCUGUGUGUGGGUUUUAAAAAUAAACCGAAGUGAUUUGUACAUACAAAUGGCUUCUCAGAAAAAGGAGUGUGGAAAAGCCAAGUUGGAAAAAAAAACAAACAAUACUUGAAACCUUUCCCUCUUUUCUUUCCCAACAGGUUUUCUUUCUCAGAACUCUUGUCUGGAAAACUCAUCUAUUGUUGCUUUGCAUACUGAGUAAGUCCAACUCCCCUUCCUCAGGGUUUGCUUAGGAUUCUAAUGAUAUUAUAGAUGGUGCAGAUAUAACAGAGAGAGAGGCUAGAAUCUGGAGCCCUUGCAAAGACAACUGAAAACUUCCAGGCUUUUAAAAACUAAAUGCAAAUAAUAUGCAUUUGCUUUCUUGGCUACAUUAUUGACAACAUAAAUGACUCUUUGGAGGCUUGCAAGUUGGGGUCAAUCAUGUCAUCUUGCAUUUUUUAGGAGAGUUAAAUCAACUGAUUAAUGAUAAAAGAAUAUAGCCACUCACUUGGUGCUUCAUUUGCAUAGCUUAUCAGUAGGAGAUUUGUUAGUAAUUUGCAUAAUCUACUGCCUUCACAAUUAGGAUUAAGAGGAGAAAUCAUCAAAGGCUAUAAACAAUGGUUAACAGCUGAAUCUAGUAUAGAAGGGAAGUUAGAUAUCUAGAGUACCAUCAUUAACAAAAUUUUAAAAAAAUUAUUAAAAUGACUAGUCAGUACAAAUUUGCCAAGUUAUACAGCCUUCACAUUUUAAAAUGUUUAGAUUUUAUAAUCAUCUUUGAAUGAAGUCAGUAUUCAUAGGCACUUGUGAAGAGUAAAUAAUUAGGUCAAAGAACUAGUUGAGACAUACUUUAUGUUCAAAUUUAAUUUGUUACAGAAGAUGCUUUUAACUUAUAAGAAUCUCCAAGAACAUGAAAAUUAUAAAUUACAAGGCAUUUAUGCUAAAAUGAUAUAUUUAUAGGAGAUAGUGCUGAAAGCACUAAAGUAUCUCGUUAAAUAAUAAAUGCUUCAGUCGAUGGCCCAGUUAUUUUGUUUAUACAAGUAUUAGAACUCUGACAAAUGCACGAUUAUUCUUCCAACUACUUAGAUAGUUAUCUUUAUAAUUUUCAACUAAUAUCUUCAGAAUAGUGUUGAGGUAAUAAAUAAUGGCUUUAUAAGUCAAUCAACAUUUAAAAUUUUGCUGUUAUUUCUGAUGUUGAGAAGUUGGUUUAAAAUUGGUGAAUCCAAGGGAAAACCUGAAUAAACCAUCUAGCUUCUUUUGUUUUCAGUUACUUGCUUUUAUUGCCAAUUUUGGGAGUCAGAGAGCUAAGCAGUAUUUCUCCAUUGGCGUUGCUAUUGGUAACAUCUCUGACUUAUUGUUGUAAUUGCUUCAGUAUUUUCUUAGGAAUUCAAAGGUUGCUUUAGCCUAUCUCAAACUGGUUAAAAACACCUACCCUUGACUUGGGUCCAGUGUUAUCCAGUGGGUAACUUUCUGA